rnacentral:rRNA from 1 species
GAUGAACGCUGGCGGCGUGCCUAAUACAUGCAAGUCGAGCGAACGGACGAGAAGCUUGCUUCUCUGAUGUUAGCAGCGGACGGGUGAGUAACACGUGGAUAACCUACCUAUAAGACUGGGAUAACUUCGGGAAACCGGAGCUAAUACCGGAUGAUAUUUUGAACCGCAUGGUUCAAAAGUGAAAGACGGUCUUGCUGUCACUUAUAGAUGGAUCCGCGCUGCAUUAGCUAGUUGGUAAGGUAACGGCUUACCAAGGCAACGAUGCAUAGCCGACCUGAGAGGGUGAUCGGCCACACUGGAACUGAGACACGGUCCAGACUCCUACGGGAGGCAGCAGUAGGGAAUCUUCCGCAAAGGGCGAAAGCCUGACGGAGCAACGCCGCGUGAGUGAUGAAGGUCUUCGGAUCGUAAAACUCUGUUAUUAGGGAAGAACAUAUGUGUAAGUAACUGUGCACAUCUUGACGGUACCUAAUCAGAAAGCCACGGCUAACUACGUG